rnacentral:rRNA from 1 species
GCCUACGGCCAUACCACCCUGAGAACGCCCGAUCUCGUCUGAUCUCGGAAGCGAAGCAGGGUCGGGCCCGGUUAGUACUUGGAUGGGAGACCGUUAGUACUGGGAUGGGAGACCGCCUGGGAAUACCGGGUGCUGUAGGCU